UACGUAGGGUGCGAGCGUUGUUCGGAAUUACUGGGCGUAAAGGGCUCGUAGGCGGCCAACUAAGUCGGACGUGAAAUCCCCAGGCUCAACCUGGGAACUGCGUCCGAUACUGGAUGGCUUGAAUUCGGGAGAGGGAUGCAGAAUUCCAGGUGUAGCGGUGAAAUGCGUAGAUAUCUGGAGGAAUACCGGUGGCGAAGGCGGCAUCCUGGACCGACAUUGACGCUGAGGAGCGAAAGCUAGGGGAGCAAACGGG
rnacentral:rRNA from 1 species